CAUGAGCCGCCCGCCUACGAGCAGAGCCUCAGCAACCCACAUCCCCACGGCAACCCCCACCCGCACCCACGCUCCCCCAGGACUGCCCGGCACGGGGGUGGCGUGGGCCCACCACCUCCACUUGCUCCCCCUCACCCCCGACGAGUCCCAAACGGUUACCGCUCGUCUUCGCCCUCCCCGCACCGGCGAGGGCCCCCACAUCAACACCCCCAUCCGGGAGGACCACCCCACAGGUCCCCCCCUCAUCACCGGGUCCCCCAUGGAGGCCCCAGAGGCCCCCGGAAGGGCCUGCACGAACCCUACAGCGAGACGGACGAGGACGACUGGUGCUAGCACAGCGAAGGAACAGAAGAACGAGGGAGGAGAGGAAGAGAGGAAAAGGAGGGAGGAGAGGAGUCUCUCCGUCUCCCCGUCCUCUGUUCUUCGUUAUGCAGACUUGAAUGAAGGGUAAAGGGAUGCAGAAGGGGUGAGGAAAGGAAAGGAAAGGAGGAGAGGAGAAUUUGGGAGAAGUCUCUCCAUCUCUCUACCUCUACACCUGAGACUCAGGCUUGGAUGGAAUGAUGAGGGAUGGAGGGAUGGUUAGAGGAGAGGAGGCACAGUGUGUGGGUGUGUGAGACUCUAAACUCAGAGCAGACAUGACAAAGAGAGACCGCUGUAAGGCAGAACAACGCACCUCUCCUCUUCUCCUCUGUCUCAACUACCAUACCGAGAGUUCUCAGCGUGCCCAGGGGGGAGUGGACCGAGGGAUGGUGGAGAGGUGCUGACGGAGGUGUGCAGAGGUGCUGACGGAGGUGUGGAGAGGGAAGAAAGAACAAAAGAAUGAAAGGAAGGGAGGAGCAUGUAUACUAAGUUACAAGUGGCCAAUGAACGGUAAAUAAAGCCCCUCUCCCAGACUGUUUAGGAGAUAGGUGGGUUAGUUAAGUUAAGCUAAACCUGGGUGCUCUUGCUGUUCUGUCAUUCUAUUCUACUAGCCUGAUAAGUGUUAGGAGCUAACAGCUAAACGCUAGCUAGCUAACACUGCUCUUGGUCUAACCUAGACGGACAUGUUUAAAAAAGAAAAACAAUGAAAACCCAUGCCAGGACCCCCUAUCCUUAUACACGCCAAGCUAUGCCUCCAGAAAAAUCUAACUUGAAGACUAAAGAACAGAAAACAAACUUUUAAAAAAAAAGAGGAGAAAAAAAGGGAGAACAACCACUUUAACUUAAACUUUCCUUAAAGGGACUAGAACCAGGAAGCUCCGCCUCUACUGCAAAAACCAGCCAAUGACAGAGCUGGCUGAUAUUUGAUGAGUUUUAUCAUCUCCUGUUUACUGUUACAGACUCACGAAAUGCUGACGACGGACCUGGUGUGACCUCACUUCCUGUGGGUGGGGCCUAGUGUGACAUCACGUCCUUUUCCGGUGGGUGGGGCCACAGGGGAGGGGCUGGGGGCAGAGUUAUGGACCCUUAGGGGGCGUAGUUUGUUUGCCCCCACUAUCUUCUCUCCCCCCUUCCUCUCUCCUCCAUCCUGCCGAAAAAGAAAGGACAGGAAAGGAAAAUGAUGGGAGGAGGAGCGGAAAGAAAGAAGGGGAGGGAAAAGACGAUUUCUUCAGUAUUUCUUCUAUCGAUUACUUCUUCUUCUUCUAGUUCUUCUUCUUGGACAUUGCAGCUUGGUUCUUCUGUUGCAUUCGCUCAAGCCUCUGUUAAUCCGUUAUGAUGCAUGAAGGAAUUUAACAACAAAAAAAUACCUAGAGAGAAAAUCUACUGUUGGGGAUAUGGGGGCAUAUUGGGUUUAUAGAACAUUUACAUUUUAGAUUUUGAUUGAAGAAGUUCUCUUUUUCUGACUCUCUCUCUCUCUCUCUCUGACUCUGUCUAUCAUCAUGCGUUUGUUUAUUGAGUAAAUGUUUGUUCUAUAUCACCCUAAGGAUCCGAUGGACAACCUUUUUUAAGUUUGAUUUCCACCCAAUAGGGUUUUAAAGCUACCAUUUUCUUAUCUUGAAAGUACUCCUAUGUUCCUGAGAUACUCCUAAAUUUUACUAAGAUACUCCUGUUGUACUAAGAUAUUCCUGAGUUGUUUUGAGGAAUAAGUAAGAAUUGAGAGAGCUAUGAGGAGAGAAAACUUCAACCUCUUUAAAUAAUUGAUUUGUAUUGUUAAUAAUGAUGAUAGUCCUAUAAAUACUGAUAUCAAUGUCAAUGCUAAACGAUGAAUGAUGAUAGUUGUUUGCCGUAGAUCUGUUGUCAUGUUUUUUGGAGUUUCAAUCUGCUGUGUCAUCUAGUUUUCAUCGUUUAUUUUCCUUGGGUUCUGUUCAAACUGUUCCCAAACUGUUCCCAAACUGCUCCCAAACUGUUCCAAAACGCCUUUAACCGGGUCCGAUACAUGCAACACGCAUAAACUUUUCAGGGAGGGGUUAGAUGUCGGAUUGUGAUUGUGAGCAACACAGAUAGAACUGUGUAGCGUUGUGUAACGCAGCUCUUUACCUCUGAUAGGUCCCCCCUCAGUGGUAGACAGAGAACCGGGGCCACGUUCAGUAGCCAAAUGUUGUCAAACGUUGCAGAUAGAAAUGUCAUUAACAGAGCCGACAUGGUUCUUCAUUCUACGUGUAAGAGACGCAUGUUUGUUCUAAAUAGCAUUUUUCUAUCCGAGCGUUCCAAAAACAUUGUGUCCUACUGAGUGCGCCCCAGUCAUAGCCAAAUCAACCGGCCAACCAACCAACCGUCAGACCUCCACACAGUAUCUGAUUUACAGCUGGCUGUGAACCAUAGAGUUAGAAAGAGGACUUAUAUCGGGUUAUAUCCACCUAGAGCCCUCUUUCUACCUCUAUGUUGUGAACGAGCUCCACCUCACAUCCCCAAGAGCUCUCCACUAGCUGUCUAGUCUCUCUGUCUUUCUGAUUCUCCAUCACAUGUUUAGCAUUGAGCUGCUUGCUUUACCAAGCCAGAGGAGAACAUUCUAGAAACAUUUUAGAAUCUCUAAGACGUUCUAGAAACUCUAGUCUAGACUCUAGAAACUCUAGUACAUUCUAGAGCAUUCUUUAGAGAGGUUAGCUAACAUGAUUGUAUCCAGAUGUUUUGGAUUAAAACAUAUUUAUUUUGCUAUGAUUACAAUUAUGUAGAUUGUAACAGAUAUUCCCUAUCAUAACUCGUAAAAUGAUAGAUACAAUAUAGAUAUAUAGAGAUAUAAAAGUUUAUAUAUUAUAGAGAGAAAAACGUACUUUUAUUUACUUCAAACACUCUAGCUACGAAGCUAGAGCUCAGAAACUCUCCAUUGAAAUCAGCUACACAGAUUCAAAUUGCACUUUGUCACUGUAGCUCCACACAAUAUCCCACUACAAACUCUAUGCAGAUCUAUCCAACAUUCAUUUCUCCUUUACCAUUAUAGUGCAGAGUAGUUGUGCCAUUAUAAAUAAAUGACAAUACGUAAGUGAGCGCAUAGAAAUGGAAUGUGUAGAACAGGCCUCCCAAUUCAAGUCAAUGAUGGCAUAUCUAUAGAUUAUAUUUCUAUGGGUCAGAUGGUGUAGUGUCAGAUAGUGUAUAUACAACAUUUUAAUAUAGAUGGAUAGAAGUAUAUAGAUAGAGGGUAUGCCCACAUCGUUUUGCUUUUGCACAAUCACUCACAAAAUCCUUAUCCUUCAUAGCACAUCUUUCCUUUAUUUUUUACCCUCCUGCAGUGUUUUGUCCUCUCCUGCUCCCUCUAUCGUUCUCCCAAGCUGUCCAAUCCCAUAUACCACCCCUGCCCUCCGUAUAGGUAGGUCCAGAGAGAGAGAGGGGGGGCCUACAUAUACCACCCCUGCCCUCCGUAUAGGUAGGUCCAGAGAGAGAGAGGGGGGGCCUACAUAUACCACCCCUGCCCUCCGUAUAGGUAGGUGCAGAGAGAGAGAGGAGGGGCCUACAUAUACCACCCCUGCCCUCCAUAUAGGUAGGUCCAGAGAGAGAGAGGGGGGGCCUACAUAUACCACCCCUGCCCUCCGUAUAGGUAGGUCCAGAGAGAGAGGGGGGGGGCCUACAUAUACCACCCCUGCCCUCCGUAUAGGUAGGUCCAGAGAGAGGGGGGGGGACCUACAUCAGAGUGGUGUACCUACAUCAGAGAGGUGUUUAUCUACCCAGAAGCCCCAGUGCCUCAGUGCCUUCUGUUUUCAGAGUCACAUCUACCCUUCCCAGCUUGCCCCUCACCAUCCCCCUCGCCCCCUCCUGUGGUUGAUCAACAUCAAACACACUACGCCUUAAAGAGUCCUAGUCGCUGUCUGUGAGCAGGUAGCAGUUGGGAGCAAGGCAGUAGGGACUGGGCUUUGCUUAGUUGGUUGGAACAGUGAGUAAAGCGCAGGAAGAGAGGGGAAUGGAAACUACUUUUGGGGAUCUCCUUCGCCCAGUUUCACACAGUGUAGUGAGAUACUGUAAUUGCAGGGGCGAAAAGGCAAUGAUUUGUUUACUUCUCAGGUGUCUCUAGAGAUAGAUAGCUAGAUAGAUAGAAUCUACACUAUAUAAUAGGCACGCUAAGGCAGUUAGUCAGUUAUAUCAUAUAAUAUGAUAUAAAUUUAUAAAAUCACAUGAAAAAAUAUAGGCCUAGGGUUUGAGUUUCUGUAUGGUUUGUUAUCUGGCAUGGGCAUUUGUAAUGUCUUCCCUUCUUCCCUUAACCUCCAUUACAGACCACCUACCAUUCAUCAUGAAUCUGCCGCUGAAAACUACUUGCACUUGACACUGUGGGUGUCCACUUAUCAGGCAGGAAACUGAUUACUCCAUUUCGGCUCAACAACACCAACAUGCUUGUCCAGAAUUGUAACUGCGGAUCCAAAAUGGCCGACAUCGACACACAACACUGCCGUUGAAUUAAAGCAUGUUGUGUGGAUUGUGAGCUCCAACCAUUAUAAAAUGAAUGACCAUUUUAAGGGGUUUAUUUUGUUUAUAAAAAAAAAAAUAAUCCAGAAGAUUUGUGAAAAGGAGGAUUUACGAAGUUUCUAGUUUACUCUCAAUCAUUCAUCCAUCCUACGUUCCUAUCCAUUUAUUUGUUGUCUUUCCUUUCUAUUUCUGAUGUGACUUCUUGAUCGACUCAUCCGUUUGUCUCUCGUUCUCUCUAUCAUUUUUUCCUCCUCUUUGAGACAACAGACGUCCUCCGAAAGCCAAUCCAACCCCAUUCACUCAAUCAAUCAACUGUUGUGCGUUUGUGAAAUGAUGUAAAUGAUUGGUGUGUGAGGCUAGUGUGUGUUGAAACAGAAAUAAGGGCUCUCCUAACAAACUAAAGGGGUUUCAUGUGCAGGUACAGUAGUGCUGACAAAAGUCAUCUGUAUGUAUCUCAAACCAUACAGUGGUGUGGUCUCCCCUUGUACAGCACUAGGUGUGUGCAUGCGUGUGUGUUGGGGUCAAAGGGUUAGAGGUCAAAGGUCAGGGUGAGAGCGGGGGGGGGGCACGUUCCGCUGAGGUGAAACGUUCUGGAAAAGAACAGAUAGAAAUGUAAUGAAUAGAGCUGACACGACACCCUUUUCUGUCAGUCUGACAAGCAUAUCCGUUCUACUUGAUGCAUUUCUAUCUGAAUGUUUUCUGUAACAUUUGCACCCUCCUGAACAGACCCCGGUUAGAAGUAGUGUCACAAGUCACAUUAUUUCACAAAUGGCACUGGAACGUUCUUGGAUCAUUUUCUAGCUCCGCCUUCUUCCGCUUGCCAAUACAGCCUUCAUUAUGAUGUCAUCAGCUGCCAUUUUCUCAUUGACCUCCACCUGCAUCCCCCAGCUCAUUUUGGAGUGGAGGGUCACCAACCUCAUCAGGGAUGGGUUUACUGGCAUGACAGUGAGACAUUCCCCUGUGUGUUGUGUUCGUGUGUGUUUGCUACGUUUGUGUGUGUGUGUGUGUGUGUGUGUGUGUGUGUGUGUGUGUGUGUGUGUGUGUGUGUGUGUGUGUGUGUGUGUGUGUGUGUGUGUGUGUGUGUGUGUGUGUGUGUGUGAGAGUGAGAGAGUGUGUGCGUGCGUGCAUGUGUGAGAGCGUGCGUGCGUGUGAGUGAGUGCGUGCGUGCGUGCGUGAGUGCGUGUGUUCACACCUCAUCUACAGUAAGUUAUCUUCAGUGCCUUACACUGUACAGUAGGAACCAAAUCUCCUUUGUAGAUAGACAACACACACAGCACUGAAUAACGCUUUCAUAAUGUUUCCAUAACGUUUUCUCUCCAACUGUACUCUUCUCUCCAUCCAGUAUUGCCUCACCUCACCUACCAUCCUAUUCCUUCUCUCUCUGUGAUCGACAAGUAAGGUCUGGAGGGAGGGCAUGGGUGAAUGAAUAGGUGAUCGUUGUGUUGGAUCUGUCAUCCUUCUCUUUCUCUCUCUGUACAUUUGCUCUGUAAACUCUUCUUGUGUACAUCUUCCAUAAACUUUCUGAAACAAUCAGACCAUGUCCAUCUAUUUUCUCUUUUAUCGCCGCUCAAUUUAUUUUUCAACAUUUACAUUUCAAUCAUUUAGUAGAUGCUCUAAUCCAGAGCGACAUAGUGUCUACAACAUCACUCCCACUCUUCAAUUGUGCUUGAAGUCUCACUCAAGUAAUGUCCAUGUACAUGUUAUACCAUACAUGAACACAAGGUGGUGCACUCGUGCUUUUAACAGAGUGUACAUUGGUCGACAUAACGUAACAUUCAAAGGCCUAUGUGUAUGUUGUCAUUACAUUGCUUUCGCAGGUGAACGGGUGAGUAUCGUGUGUGUAUGUGCGCAUGUGCAUGUUUGGAGGCUUCAGUGAGUGUGUGUGUGUGUGCGUGUGCGUGCGUGUGUGUGUGUGUGUGUGUGCGUGUGCGUGCGUGUGUGUGUGUGCGUGCGUGUGUGUGUGUGUGUGUGUGUGUGUGUGUGUGUAUCUUUACGUGACAACACACACACAGCGACAACACCAAGAUUCUUGACGACCGUGGGUUGAUUCCCUAGAUAUGUGUGGAGCGUCUUCUACUGUCACAAUGGAAACCCUCAAGGCCCGUCACUCUUCAUUCCAUAAAGUCUCCCAACCAUCACAUUAUAAUAUCACAAUACCAUCAAUUUGUCCCAUAGACACUGAUAUGAGAUCCGUUUUCAGUGUUAACCUCCUUAUGGUGAAGCAUAGGAGUGAGGUGGGGUGAAUCUACAGUAGAAACCAUACCAUAUCAGUCCAGUGCCACAGUAGAGAACCAUACAGGACAGGAGUCAUUUUAGGAAGCAAGAAGAGAAAAUACACUACAUACACUACAUGGCAAUUUAAGGUAAAAAGAGAAGUAUUUAAAUAACAGAUUUGCAUGUGCAAUGUGCAUGCCACUACGUGGGGUUAAAUAAGUCAACUUCAGGAAUAAAAUUAAAAAAUAAUAUAAAGAGAAAAAAUAAAGUAUAUAUAUAUAUGUAUAAAUAUAUAUAGAUAGAUGUUUUUAAGAGCAAUGUGUUCCUUUUUCUUCUAUUUUUAAAAACAAAAAACUGGAGAAAAAAACUUGGACAAAAAAAAAUAGAUAGAAAAUCUUUAAAAAGAAGCAGAACUUUGGUGAUGUAAUCAAAGAAUGUUUUUGUUUGCUACUUGCCAGUUAUUUCACUAAAGAGGGGGAACUGCGACGGCGGGGCGGUAGACGAUUUAACACUUUAAACAAAAUGUUGAAACAUUACAUUACAACAACAAAAAUGAAGAAAAGAUAAAUAAAAGAUAAACGUGGAAUGAAGGAAUACAUUUUUCCUUAAAGAAAAACAAAAAUCCCUUGAUUGAGAGUCUUGAGAGCUGCCUCAUGAUUCUAUUUCUGAUUUUACCCGUUUAUUCUGGCUAUGAAAUCUCUUUCUCUCUCUAUCUCUCUGCUAUUUCUACCAGUGCAUUUUGUUACUCCGAACAGAACUCUUCCUAAG
rnacentral:lncRNA from 1 species